GAUCCUGGCUCAGGAUGAACGCUGGCGGCGUGCCUAAUACAUGCAAGUCGAGCGAACGGACGAGAAGCUUGCUUCUCUGAUGUUAGCGGCGGACGGGUGAGUAACACGUGGAUAACCUACCUAUAAGACUGGGAUAACUUCGGGAAACCGGAGCUAAUACCGGAUAAUAUUUUGAACCGCAUGGUUCAAAAGUGAAAGACGGUCUUGCUGUCACUUAUAGAUGGAUCCGCGCUGCAUUAGCUAGUUGGUAAGGUAACGGCUUACCAAGGCAACGAUGCAUAGCCGACCUGAGAGGGUGAUCGGCCACACUGGAACUGAGACACGGUCCAGACUCCUACGGGAGGCAGCAGUAGGGAAUCUUCCGCAAUGGGCGAAAGCCUGACGGAGCAACGCCGCGUGAGUGAUGAAGGUCUUCGGAUCGUAAAACUCUGUUAUUAGGGAAGAACAUAUGUGUAAGUAACUGUGCACAUCUUGACGGUACCUAAUCAGAAAGCCACGGCUAACUACGUGCCAGCAGCCGCGGUAAUACGUAGGUGGCAAGCGUUAUCCGGAAUUAUUGGGCGUAAAGCGCGCGUAGGCGGUUUUUUAAGUCUGAUGUGAAAGCCCACGGCUCAACCGUGGAGGGUCAUUGGAAACUGGAAAACUUGAGUGCAGAAGAGGAAAGUGGAAUUCCAUGUGUAGCGGUGAAAUGCGCAGAGAUAUGGAGGAACACCAGUGGCGAAGGCGACUUUCUGGUCUGUAACUGACGCUGAUGUGCGAAAGCGUGGGGAUCAAACAGGAUUAGAUACCCUGGUAGUCCACGCCGUAAACGAUGAGUGCUAAGUGUUAGGGGGUUUCCGCCCCUUAGUGCUGCAGCUAACGCAUUAAGCACUCCGCCUGGGGAGUACGACCGCAAGGUUGAAACUCAAAGGAAUUGACGGGGACCCGCACAAGCGGUGGAGCAUGUGGUUUAAUUCGAAGCAACGCGAAGAACCUUACCAAAUCUUGACAUCCUUUGACAACUCUAGA
rnacentral:rRNA from 1 species